rnacentral:rRNA from 1 species
AGUGAACGCUGGCGGUAUGCCUAACACAUGCAAGUCGAACGGCAGCACAGUAAGAGCUUGCUCUUACGGGUGGCGAGUGGCGGACGGGUGAGGAAUACAGCGGAAUCUACGUUUGCGUGGGGGAUAACGUAGGGAAACUUACGCUAAUACCGCAUACGACCUACGGGUGAAAGCAGGGGAUCUUCGGACCUUGCGCGAUUGAAUGAGCCGAUGUCGGAUUAGCUAGUUGGCGGGGGAAAGGCCAACCAAGGCGACGAUCCGUAGCUGGUCUGAGAGGAUGAUAAGCCACACUGGAACAGAGACACGGUCCAGACUGCUACGGGGGGCAGCAGUGGGGAAUAUUGGACAAUGGGAGCAAGCAUGAUCCAGCCAUACCGCGUGGGUGAAGAAGGCAUUCGGGUUGUAAAGCCCUUUUGUUGGGAAAGAAAAGCAGCAGGUUAAUACCACGCUGUUCUGACGGUACCCAAAGAAUAAGCACCGGCUAACUUCGUG